GGAGUCAAUGAGUGGUGGGCGGGGCCGUCACUCAGUGAGUUCUUCUGAGCUCUGGGCAGUGCACAGGGCAGCCGUUGGGCCCUGAACAAACAGGAACAGGCACACCUACCUUUCCCUCUGAGCUUCACUUGCCUGUCCUGCAGGGACGCACAGACAUCACUGUACGGCAGAUGUCUUGGGUCUAGUGAGAGAAAAGAUGCUGUUUCAGGAAGAUUUACUUAAAGUACAAAAACCCAAAUCCAUUUCAAGGCCCCAUCGAUGACAGGGAGCUGCUAGCUCGGUCGCUCUACCUCCCAGCCUCCAAACUUCCCCAAAGCAGGUCAACUCACUGAGGAGGUUAAGUGUAUAAUCCUUAAACUUGUUCUCCAAUGUCAAUAUUCUUAACGACCACAGUGACAUUUCAACGGGAGUCUGCUGGGGACACGGAGCAGGCUGUGCUGCUGGCCUUCUGGCCCCCGUCUUCCGAUACCCUGUGUUGUUUUGCAUGUGGCAGGAAUCAAGUUCUCCCUGCUCUUGGAAUCAGCCUAGACCAGGCCCCUCGGGUUCCCAGGCUGGAGGAAGCAAGCGGGCAAAGUGCCUGAGACAUCCACCCUUACAUUCUUCACCUGAACUAAUCAGAUGGCCAGGUCAUCUUCAUAGAGCUUUUGGGAUGCUAUUUUCUUCACUGUUUCUCCAGGAGAAGAAAGACCACAAACAGACGAGGAUUCCACUUAGUUAUCCUUAAGUGUAUGCAUAUUCUGUAAGUUCGAACGGUCAGUUUCCUCCGGGUGAAGUUACAGAUUGGAGAACGAUGGGCCUUAGCGGAAUGGAAUACCAGGACUGUCUCUGGAUUGCACAAGCAGCUCAUUGAUCCAUUUUGUCAGCGUACUUUCAUCUGGAAAGCAUCAAUCAAAGCAAUGCCCAAAUCUUCACUUUAUGAUGUCAGAGAAUACUGACAGUUCCUUGUCCACCAAGAUUAAUAGACUACAACUGUAAAUCAGAGUCACACAGACUCUCGGGUCCUUUACCGCCAUCAUGAACAGAAUCUCUUCUCCUCCGCUGUGAGCCUAGGCUGCGGGAUGGCAUUCCCACAUCUGCUCGGUCCCUGGGUCCCAGUUUUGGCAACUGUCAUUUCUACUGAUAUAGCCUCUCCUGGACAAACUGAACACACACACGGAUCUCAGCUCCUAAGUGUGUGGCCUCAGCUUCGGGUCCAGAGAAGGGCAGCUUUGUGUACUGGUACCCUGAGUAUGGCGUGGCUUCUCCUCUUCCCAGUGUCCAUGGCUUUAGUGACCCAUUGUCUUCACAGCCUCCCUCUCCUCUGCCCGCCUUCUUGAGACCAUCAAAGGAGACAUUCUUUAUAUACACCACGUGGCCUCCAGGAUAGGUUUGGAUGGAACCUCCACUAUCUUUUUGACUUUGAAGUCUGGUGACUCAGUCUUGUUUCCUGGUCCUCAGAACACAUUCUCCUGUAGGCUGGGCUAGGAGUGACCGUGGAAUUGGUCCCAGCUCCGGUGAAGUGUGUGUGUGUGUGUGUGUGUGGUGUGUGUGUGUGUGUGUGUGUGUGGACACCACACAGCUCCAUAAACCUGUUCCUCUAAGGGAGCUGCAGAGGAAGCCAGACCAGCAUGGGGCAUUUUCUCUGAACUUACCUGACCUACUAAAAAGGAGCUUUUCUGGAACUUUCCCAAAUGCCACGCCUUACUGGUUCUUCAGGCACCAUUUUUCAGUGACAACGGCCACCACUUUCUAUGGAAGACCUUUCCCGCCUUGAAGCCAUUGAAUUGGGUGCAUUCGGCAACUUCGGCUCCUACCCCCAAGAUAAAGCAGCCAGCCCACCACAGUGCUGGUGGUGUUCCCCAGCUUCCAGAUGCCCAGUGUCCUGUCCAGUGGUUACCGUAUGGCUCUUACUGUUCCUCAUCUGUGCUCUCCAAACUCUCAACUCCCUCGUGGGCUGUGGAUUCUCAAGUGCUUCUCAGGCAUGCCUUGAGGAUGAUGGGAAGGUUUCUCACAACCAUUCCAAACACUAGCCACCUGCCAUCAUGCCGGGCACGAGGAUGUGGGAGGUGUGCCAAGCAGCCAGGGCCUUGUGGGUGCAUGCUGGGUGUCCCUGUUUUCUUUUGUUAGGUGCUCUGGGGGCGAGUGCUGUCCCUCCACCAAUGAAUGCUUCCAGGUAGCUCUCAGACUGACCUGGGGGACCAGGCAGUGCCCUGGUGGAGGAGGACUAGGCGACUGGGGAGUACCUGAGCCCGUGGAAGAUGCCCAGCGGGCCCCUAACGGCAGGAAGUCAGGGCGCAUGCUUCAGGGCUCAGAGGCGAGGGCCAAGCUAGCUUAGAGCUAAAAACUACUUUGGUGACUAUGGUCCCCAAGAACACACUUGCUGACAGUCUCCCUGUGGAUCCACAGUGUUGCUGGCAGGUAUCUGUCCUUCCUCUCGGCUGUCUGUCUGGCCAAUGCUUCAGAGCACCCUUCAGAAUCGUAUUUUUAAAUUAAUUUUUCAAUGCAGUAUUACUUCCUCUGUGUGUGUGCACAUGUGUGUGCACAGAUGUGGGUGCUAUCGAAUACCCAUGGAGGUUGGAGGACAACUUUGCGGGAUCGGUUCUCUCCUCCUCCCUUGACGUGGGUUUUAGGAGACUGAACUCAGGCCGUCAGGCUUGUGUAGCAGGCUCCUCUAUCCACUGAGCCGUCUCACCAGCCCUUAAAUGAACUUUUAAAGUCAGCCUACAGAGCAGUGGGCUCCAUUACCGCAUCUCGGUGCAAAGGUGUGGUGAUCCUCUCUUAUUGUCUCCCUCCUCACAGCCCUCCCCGUCCCCCUUGUCUCUCUCUUGCUGACCCCCGUUCUCUUCCCAAAUGUGACCCCUCUGCAUCUUGUCUUCCGUCAUUUGAGAUCUCUUCCUUCCCUCUCAUGGCCCCCUUUCUGUCUCUGUCUGCCUGUCUGUCUCUCUCCCCGCUCUCUUACACACACACGCACACACACACACACACACACACACACACACACACACACACACACGAGAGAGAAAGUGGGAUAUUUUCUGAAUCUUACUUGUUUUGCUUAAUGUGAUGGUCGCUAGCUCUGCCCCUUUUCCUGUAAAUGCCGUAAUUUUAUUCUUUAUGACUAAAUAAGAUUCCACUACUAGUAUGUAUAUUUUCUUUAUCCACAGAGUCAUAUUUUUAAAUAUAAAAAGUCCAAAGAAACCAAUGAUAUUAAAAUACAGCAAUGAACAUGUCUUUAAAAAAACACGUCUGUGAUAAUAGUUAUAUACUUCUUUGAAGGCACAUUGAAUAGCAAGAUUUGAUGGCAAGCUUGACGUGUGUGAUUGACGAAAUGAUGACGACUGUAAACAGUAUUCACAAUGGGUCACCGUGUGAAAAUAUCAGCAGUUCUGAACAGUGAGAAAGGCACAGUGAUAUGAAGGACUCGCUUGCAUCUGAAUUAAAAUUUUCAGUUAGAGAUGAAGAUAAAUAUGAGAUCUCUCAGUCUGAGGAGCCUAGGUUCAGCAUGCUCCCCAUGAGCAAGGCACAGACCCACGGGAAGCCUGGGUUCCAGGGUACGAGUUACAGACCUGGGUCUGUACAUAUAUCGCUGUACAUAUGUGGGAAUAUGUCUGUCACCUUGGGUCUCUUUAUCUGCUGGUCAAAAAGUUCAGUUGUGGCAGCUACUUAGCUGGUUGCAUCAAAAGCUGUGUGUGUGUGUGUGUGUGUGUGUGUGUGUGUGUGUGUGUGUGUGUGUGUGUUCUUUAGUCUUCAUUACCAGGGAACACUUACUCUGUGAGCGUUGAGAAAGACUAAAAACUGAAUCACCCUUUCAAGCAUCGCCUACCACCUUUCUACCGAAAUGUUUGAGUUAAUUGCUGAUGCCUCCACCCCCUUGCUCUAAGCCUAUGUUGUAGGCAUACAAUGAAUUCCAGGGAAGCCCUCACUCUCGCUGGCUUAAAAAAAAAAAAAAAUCUGGGAGGGAGUUGUAAAAUUCUUGGCACCAAAGAAAGAAAUGCUGUGCUUAAUUGCUGGGCUCAGGCUUGGCUGACAGACUCUUACCUGUCUCCGCGUUGUCUCAGGCCCAAAGUCACCCGCUAAACGUGUUUUCUCAAACACGGGCUGAUAAGUUAGCUUCCGGAUCCCCCAGCUAAUUAGGCAUCAUGAGUUGAAGCUAAUUUGGUGGAAAACAUUUCUCAACUUAAUGACAUUUAUGGGCAAUUAGGCAGUUCUGGAGGGCGGCAGGCACGCACGUUUCAGCCUCUUUCCAGCGCUUAACAAGGAUCCCCUCUUCCCUGGAUGAAGAUUUCUCAUUCUCUGAGGAAUAUGUUCGAUACAGACACCGCGGGUCUCCUUGUUAUGCCAGAAACCAGCAGUCAUUUGCACGAAAGGAGCUACCUCGCAGUAAUGAGGUGCAGCCGGAGGUAAAAUUACAUUUGGCGGAGGCUUCUGUGUCCUGCAGCCGGCGACUCCGGGCGAGGAUUCCUGAGCUGCGUGCCCGGCUGCAGAAUCACAUCGUGGAUCAAUUGCCCCAGACACACGCUUUGUAGCCUGUGGUUAGAAACGACUUCUUUCUUCAGUGCCAACAUAGCUGAAGGUCUAGCAGGUAGCGUCCUUCCCUUCAUAACGGUAUACUACUGCUGCUGGGAGCGUUCUGUAGGCCGGCAAAAUGUUCCCAGCGUGCCCUGUGGUCAUGAUGUGCUGCUGACAGCUUCUCUUGUAUACUCAGCACAUGGCGGCCCAGUCUGCGGUCAGCUGGGGAGGAGAGGAGAGGGUGUCUCCUGUCCUUCCAUCUUCGCUCAGCAGUUCAGACAGCAUCCCACCCACCCUCUUCUGACUUACCCAGCAUCCAUUUCUGCAAGGCAAUCCUUGACUCUGCCUCUGUCUCCUCUCUGGGAGUGUGUUAACCAAACUCAUGAGAAAUUUGUCUCCCUGUGGAAAGGGAGGACGGUGUUUAUGUGCGUGCCCGCGUGCACAAACUUGAAGCUAAUUAAUGCUGAGUCUUCCUCCUAGCUGACUGCCACCGAUGGCUGAAAGAAUUAAGACUGACAUAGACUGUCCCUGUUCAGCAAUUCCAAAGCAACACAGCCAGCCAGAAGCUACCAAUCAAGACAUCUUAUUGUUAUCCAGAUCUCCAGCCCAAGAUGCAGCAGACUAGACCCUUCGUGAUAGUUUGUCUUUUUUCCUUUGAUUCGUGAAGUCAAUUCCUACUUAAUAGGAACUGUAACCUCAAGUUUUAAACUUUGAUCCUUUACCAAGCUAACCGUAUAAUGACUAUUCUCUCUCUCUCUCUCUCUCUCUCUCUCUCUCUCUCUCUCUCU